ACAUCACAUUGAAACACCGAUUCUCAUAUGAUCACUAAAGUUAAGCAACAUUGAGUCUGAUCAGUACCUAGAUGGGUGAUCACUUGGGUAUAACAGGUGUUGUAA